AUUGAACGCUAGCGGGAUGCCUUACACAUGCAAGUCGAACGGAGUGGCGAACGGGUGAGUAAUGUAUCGGAACGUGCCCAGUAGCGGGGGAUAACUACGCGAAAGCGUAGCUAAUACUGCAUACUAGCGGAGCGGCCGACAUCGGAUUAGCUAGUGGGUGGGGUAACGGCUCACCAAGGCGAAGAACCGUACCUGGGUUGAGAGGACGACCAGACACACUGGGACUGAGACACGGCCCCGACACCUACGGGAGGCAGCAGGGGGGAAUGUUGGACCAUGGGGAAAACCCUGAUCCAGCCAUCCCGCGUGUGCGAUGAAGGCCUUCGGGUUGUAAAGCACUUUUGGCAGGAAAGCGGUACCUGCAGAAUAAGCACCGGCUAACUACGUGCCAGCCGCCGCGGUAAUAC
rnacentral:rRNA from 1 species